GCCGCCGUGGCGGAAUCUGGUAUACGCAGAGGACUUAAAAUCCUCGGCUCGAAAGGGCUUGUGGGUUCAAAUCCCACCGGCGGCA
rnacentral:tRNA from 1 species